rnacentral:rRNA from 1 species
UCCGUAGGGUGCAAGCGUUAAUCGGAAUUACUGGGCGUAAAGCGUGCGCAGGCGGUUUUGUAAGACUGUCGUGAAAUCCCCGGGCUUAACCUGGGAACUGCAUUUGUGACUGGCGGGCUAGAGUAUGGCAGAGGGGGGUAGAAUUCCACGUGUAGCAGUGAAAUGCGUAGAGAUGUGGAGGAAUACCGAUGGCGAAGGCAGCCCCCUGGGCCAAUACUGACGCUCAUGCACGAAAGCGUGGGGAGCAAACAGG